CUCUGCUGUGUCAUGUAGGUUACCAGGGAAGGAGGGAAAGCCAUAAUUACAGGCCUCACUUAGCUCCCAUGCAGCCCAAAAAGCUUGUCUCAUUCCCAUUAUGCUUCACCAACAGCACUGAGUUUAUUUCCAGGCAGUGGGUGAGCAGGGCUGAGAAGUUGCCCCAGGUUACCAGCCUCCUGGCUGAGAAAGCAAGCAGGGCUUUCAGGUUUCAAGCUUCCUCAUCUGCUGUGGCUUCUGUGCUGUGUCUGUACUCCCGAUUUACCCCCUCCCCCAGUUCUGUCCAGGAAACUUCAUGUUCAGUCAAAUUUAUUACGAAGUUCAGCUGGAAAUUUCCUUCUUUGUGUGGUCUUUUCCCAGUUCCUCUGGCUGCUCUCCCUAGGGACCCCUAUGAGACAAAGUCAGAAAUGGCUUCCUUGGGGACAGAGAGUGCCCGCUGCUUCUUCUACCGCUGUAUUUCACUUGGCUGUCUAAAUUCAUCCCAGCUCCAGGGUCUUGCAACAGCAGUCUGCUUCCUUUGACGGGUCUGGGGAUUCUGUCGGCUUUCCAGGUGUAUCCUGCACUAGUUAUCGGAGCAAAAAUUCAUGAUGACAUUUCCUGCAGCUUUUCAGAUUUCCACAGCAGCCAUUUUGGAGUGUACCUGUCCAGCUCAACAGCUAUUUCAGGUGUGUUUCAUAUUUUACAGACUGGAAACCUUCAAAUGCUGUGUCACACAAUAAAUAUUGAGCUUUUCUUUCCAAGGCA